rnacentral:rRNA from 1 species
GAUGAACGCUGGCGGCGUGCCUAAUACAUGCAAGUCGAGCGAACAGAUAAGGAGCUUGCUCCUUUGACGUUAGCGGCGGACGGGUGAGUAACACGUGGAUAACCUACCUAUAAGACUGGGAUAACUUCGGGAAACCGGAGCUAAUACCGGAUAACAUAUUGAACCGCAUGGUUCAAUAGUGAAAGGCGGCUUUGCUGUCACUUAUAGAUGGAUCCGCGCCGUAUUAGCUAGUUGGUAAGGUAACGGCUUACCAAGGCAACGAUACGUAGACGACCUGAGAGGGUGAUCGCCCACACUGGACCUUAGACAAGGUCCACACGCCUACGGUAGGCAGCAGUAGGGACUCUUCCGCCAUGGGCGAAAGCCUGACGGAGCAACGCCGCGUGAGUGAUGAAGGUCUUCGGAUCGUAAAACUCUGUUAUCAGGGAAGAACAAAUGUGUAAGUAACUGUGCACAUCUUGACGGUACCUGCUCAGAAAGCCACGGCUAACUACGUG